UAUGCAUGCAACAUUGAUUCUCCGGACCGAGGUCACCUUUGAGGCAACCGUCUGCAAACUCCUCUAACCUCUUCACCUUGGAUCAUCAUCAACUGUUGAGGCAUCUCCGUUGUCCAGACCGGUCAAUCAUGAAACCAAAUAGAAUUCGACUUGAAUAAUACCAAUCAUUGUAAGAAAAUAUGAUAUGGAAAUGCUGUUCGCUUUGUGUGGCAUACCCAUGCUUAACGGUACAGGAACACUCAAAUCCUGUUUUCUCACAAUCGAUUGGCAGAUCUAAAACUCCGCGUAUAUUCGGUGUCAUGUAAAGCAUGCAUGUGGGACAAGCGUCGAGCCAUCGUUUCCGGUUAUCGAUUGUCAACCAAGUCACGAGUCGUCCAAGAGUCGAGAGCAGGCCCAACCAAGAAGACACCCCGGAUAGGAGAAACCCCGUCUCCUUUUGCCGUCCGCCUUCACCCCCUAACAUUCAACGGCUGUCACUUCCGACGGUUCUCCUCCUCCCAGUGCGUUGUCGACGGAAGAACUGCCACACGAGCUGGACGGGAGUCGAUUCGAGCUAUAGGGAGGGAACACCUGCGAUGCCCUGUGGGAGUUCGGCUAAGGUAAAAGUCGAGGCAAACAACGACGAACAAGCAGGAGAGAAAAUCCCACUGUUGAGGCAGCGCUCCGUGGGACCGAAAAAAAUGAAACCAAUAAAAAUGCAUUUCAAUCAAUUACCACAA